rnacentral:rRNA from 1 species
ACGGGGCAUUACUCAGUACGGCGAGUGAAGCGGUAACAGCUCAAAUUUGAAAUCUGGCUCCUCGGGGCCCGAAUUGUAAUUUGUAGAAGAUGCUUUGGGUCUGGGCCUGGCCUAAGUUCCUUGGAACAGGACGUCGUAGAGGGUGAGAAUCCCGUAUGCGGCUGGCGCCCGUGCCCGUGUACAGCUCUUUCAACGAGUCGAGUUGUUUGGGAAUGCAGCUCUAAAUGGGUGGUAAAUUUCAUCUAAAGCUAAAUAUUGGCCAGAGACCGAUAGCGCACAAGUAGAGUGAUCGAAAGAUGAAAAGCACUUUGGAAAGAGAGUUAAACAGUACGUGAAAUUGUUGAAAGGGAAGCGCUGGCAACCAGACUUGGGCGCUGUUGAUCCGCUAGGGUUCUCUCUAGGGCACUCGGCAGCGCGCAGGCCAGCAUCGGUUUGGGGGGUUGGAGAAUGGCUGGUGGAAUGUGGCUGUCUUCGGGCAGUGUUAUAGCCACCGGUGGCAUGCAGCCUCCCCGGACCGAGGACCGCGCUUCGGCUAGGAUGCUGGCGUAAUGGUUGUCAGCGACCCGUCUUGAAACACGGACCA